AAGCACUUUCCUGACAAACGGGAAGAUAGAUGGGAAAUCCGUUCCACUCAAAAUUCAUGGGAUUCAUUUUCCCUUCUCAGUUCCCAACUGUGGCCCAUGACACCAACCAUCAUUACGAGUUUUCUGGACAACACUACCCCAGCCCAAGUAUGCUAUUGCCAAUUUUACCCAUCGAAUCCCAUCUUCUGAUAAGAUUGUUUCAUCAAUCACAGAGUCGUUGGCGCCCUCAGUCUCUCGCCUCUUUCAUCACCAAGACACGAAGAGACGAAGCUUUCGUUCGGCAAUCAGCCUUCUCUCUCCCAAGUAAUCAAAGAUGAUGGGAGAGAAUAUCUAGAUGUCUAUGAACCCAAACAAUAUCAUAGAAAGCAUGACAUGCUUGUUCUUAGGUUUCAAAUCCUGCAUUCUCUAGGGAUAGCUGUGUAUGUCGUAGGAAAUCUGUUGGAGCAACCAAAUUCCAAAGAGUUCACAGGACUGUGGGUUGUAGUAGCAGAUGAUGAUAAUUUAAAAAGGGAUGUGACCACUAAACUGCUCCAGAACUUGGUUCUCGAGUCCAGAAGAAACAGUACCUGGUUUGAUUGCUUGAUUAGACUUUCCAUUGCUUAGAAUUCAUAUUAUUGUUUUCGAUCUUCACACGCCUGAUUGGUGUUCUGGAUCUUCGCAUGCUUGAAAACCCAUGGUAGGUUGGUGCAUGUUUGAAUUUUUAUGAUAUUCUUUUUAUUUUAAAAGGCAAGGAUAUUAUGGGAACAUUGAUAUUUAUUUUUACUUUCCUUUCCUACACCAACCAAACAUCGGAAAGGAAAUCAAAUUAUCUUUCAUGAAUACUUUCCAUGCU